GCGAGUGAAGCGGCAAAAGCUCAAAUUUGAAAUCUGGCCAGUUUUCUGGUCCGAGUUGUAAUUUGAAGAAGCGACUUUUGUGUGGGCUCUUGUCUAUGUUCCUUGGAACAGGACGUCACAGAGGGUGAGAAUCCCGUGCGAUGAGAUGACCCCAUGCUAUGUAAAGCGUUUUCGACGAGUCGAGUUGUUUGGGAAUGCAGCUCUAAGUGGGUGGUAAAUUCCAUCUAAAGCUAAAUAUUGGCGAGAGACCGAUAGCGAACAAGUACAGUGAUGGAAAGAUGAAAAGAACUUUGAAAAGAGAGUGAAAAAGUACGUGAAAUUGUUGAAAGGGAAGGGCUUGAGAUCAGACUUUGGAUUUCCACGGCGGGCUUUCGGGCCUGUCCUCUGGGGGUGUCAGGGCCAGCAUGGGUUUUGCGGGCGGGACAAUUGCGGGGGAAUGUGGCUCUUUUUCGGAGGAGUGUUAUAGCCCCCGCGGAUGCCGCCACGCGGGACCGAGGACUGCGGUUACUAGGAUGCUGGCAUAAUGAUCUUAAGCCGCCC
rnacentral:rRNA from 1 species